GACGAACGCUGGCGGCGUGCCUAAUACAUGCAAGUCGAGCGGACUUUCAAGAAGCUUGCUUUUUGAAAGUUAGCGGCGGACGGGUGAGUAACACGUGGGCAACCUGCCUGCAAGACGGGGAUAACUCCGGGAAACCGGGGCUAAUACCGGAUAAUAUCUUCCUUCGCAUGAAGGAAGGUUGAAAGGCGGCGCAAGCUGCCGCUUGCAGAUGGGCCCGCGGCGCAUUAGCUAGUUGGUGAGGUAACGGCUCACCAAGGCGACGAUGCGUAGCCGACCUGAGAGGGUGAUCGGCCACACUGGGACUGAGACACGGCCCAGACUCCUACGGGAGGCAGCAGUAGGGAAUCUUCCGCAAUGGACGAAAGUCUGACGGAGCAACGCCGCGGGAGCGAAGAAGGUCUUCGGAUCGUAAAGCUCGGUUGUCAGGGAAGAACAAGUACCGUUCGAACAGGGCGGUACCUUGACGGUACCUGACCAGAAAGCCACGGCUAACUACGUG
rnacentral:rRNA from 1 species